rnacentral:rRNA from 1 species
ACGAUGAACCCGCUUCGGUGGGGGAUUAGUGGCGAACGGGUGCAGUAACACGUGGGCAAUCUGCCCUGCACUCUGGGACAAGCCCUGGAAACGGGGUCUAAUACCGGAUGAUACCCGGGGGCGCAUGCCCUUGGGUUGAAAGCUCCGGCGGUGCAGGAUGAGCCCGCGGCCUAUCAGCUUGUUGGUGGGGUGAUGGCCUACCAAGGCGACGACGGGUAGCCGGCCUGAGAGGGCGACCGGCCACACUGGGACUGAGACACGGCCCAGACUCCUACGGGAGGCAGCAGUGGGGAAUAUUGCACAAUGGGCGAAAGCCUGAUGCAGCGACGCCGCGUGAGGGAUGACGGCCUUCGGGUUGUAAACCUCUUUCAGCAGGGAAGAAGCGAAAGUGACGGUACCUGCAGAAGAAGCGCCGGCUAACUACGUGCCAGCAGCCGCGGUAAUACGUAGGGCGCAAGCGUUGUCCGGAAUUAUUGGGCGUAAAGAGCUCGUAGGCGGCUUGUCACGUCGGUUGUGAAAGCCCGGGGCUUAACCCCGGGUCUGCAGUCGAUACGGGCAGGCUAGAGUGUGGUAGGGGAGAUCGGAAUUCCUGGUGUAGCGGUGAAAUGCGCAGAUAUCAGGAGGAACACCGGUGGCGAAGGCGGAUCUCUGGGCCAUUACUGACGCUGAGGAGCGAAAGCGUGGGGAGCGAACAGGAUUAGAUACCCUG